CUCUUGUACUUUCAUCUAGUAUGUUUUUCACUUUUUGUCCAUGGUUUAGAAAAUUGUACUUUCCUUCCUCAAAGUAGAUGAAAAGAUAUUCUUAUCCUUGUAUAUAAUAUAUCUAAAUUUGCAUAUUUUCAACACAAACCUCAUUUCCUUCUCUUCCAAAAUUAAAUUUCUCUCUCUAGUCUCUGUCUCAAAACACAACACACUCACACACAAACACUAUAUCUGAAGCAAGGUUUUAUACUUGAUGUCUUUGCAUGAGGACCAGAGCCAAAAAUCCCUUGUUGAUGUUUUAUUUUAUUCAACCUUUUUCAUUGGGAAUAAUAGAUAACAAUGGAGGAUCUGCAGUGAAGAAUUGUUGAUGGAAGAUGAAGAAUUCUUGCUGCAAAUUUUUGGAAAUUUUGCUGGGUUGAAAUGGUGAAGAACUUUGGAGAAAUUUGAUAUUUUUGGUUGUCUUAAAGUGAUUAAGAAAUGUUUAGCAAUAUAUUAUAAACAUGAUUUUAGUAGCAUUUUUGUAAAUAUAAUGAUAUUGUCCAACGACAAGAUCGUGGUUUUUCUCGUUACUUUUAGUCACCUAAGAGCACUUUAGUCAUUAAAAUCAUUAUUAAGCUAGAUUUUGAUU